rnacentral:rRNA from 1 species
UACGGGGGGGGCAAGCGUUGUUCGGAAUUACUGGGCGUAAAGGGCUCGUAGGCGGCCAACUAAGUCGGACGUGAAAUCCCUGGGCUCAACCCAGGAACUGCGUCCGAUACUGGCAGGCUUGAAUCCGGGAGAGGGAUGUGGAAUUCCAGGUGUAGCGGUGAAAUGCGUAGAUAUCUGGAGGAACACCGGUGGCGAAGGCGGCAUCCUGGACCGGUAUUGACGCUGAGGCGCGAAAGCCAGGGGAGCAAACGGG